rnacentral:rRNA from 1 species
CUCUUCUUGGAUGAGUUGCGAACGGGUGAGUAACGCGUAGGUAACCUGCCUUGUAGCGGGGGAUAACUAUUGGAAACGAUAGCUAAUACCGCAUAACAAUGGAUGACACAUGUCAUUUAUUUGAAAGGGGCAAUUGCUCCACUACAAGAUGGACCUGCGUUGUAUUAGCUAGUAGGUGAGGUAACGGCUCACCUAGGCGACGAUACAUAGCCGACCUGAGAGGGUGAUCGGCCACACUGGGACUGAGACACGGCCCAGACUCCUACGGGAGGCAGCAGUAGGGAAUCUUCGGCAAUGGGGGCAACCCUGACCGAGCAACGCCGCGUGAGUGAAGAAGGUUUUCGGAUCGUAAAGCUCUGUUGUAAGUCAAGAACGAGUGUGAGAGUGGAAAGUUCACACUGUGACGGUAGCUUACCAGAAAGGGACGGCUAACUACGUGCCAGCAGCCGCGGUAAUACGUAGGUCCCGAGCGUUGUCCGGAUUUAUUGGGCGUAAAGCGAGCGCAGGCGGUUUGAUAAGUCUGAAGUUAAAGGCUGUGGCUCAACCAUAGUUCGCUUUGGAAACUGUCAAACUUGAGUGCAGAAGGGGAGAGUGGAAUUCCAUGUGUAGCGGUGAAAUGCGUAGAUAUAUGGAGGAACACCGGUGGCGAAAGCGGCUCUCUGGUCUGUAACUGACGCUGAGGCUCGAAAGCGUGGGGAGCGAACAGGAUUAGAUACCCUGGUAGUCCACGCCGUAAACGAUGAGUGCUAGGUGUUGGAUCCUUUCCGGGAUUCAGUGCCGCAGCUAACGCAUUAAGCACUCCGCCUGGGGAGUACGACCGCAAGGUUGAAACUCAAAGGAAUUGACGGGGGCCCGCACAAGCGGUGGAGCAUGUGGUUUAAUUCGAAGCAACGCGAAGAACCUUACCAGGUCUUGACAUCCCGAUGCUAUUUCUAGAGAUAGAAAGUUACUUCGGUACAUCGGUGACAGGUGGUGCAUGGUUGUCGUCAGCUCGUGUCGUGAGAUGUUGGGUUAAGUCCCGCAACGAGCGCAACCCCUAUUGUUAGUUGCCAUCAUUCAGUUGGGCACUCUAGCGAGACUGCCGGUAAUAAACCGGAGGAAGGUGGGGAUGACGUCAAAUCAUCAUGCCCCUUAUGACCUGGGCUACACACGUGCUACAAUGGUUGGUACAACGAGUUGCGAGUCGGUGACGGCAAGCUAAUCUCUUAAAGCCAAUCUCAGUUCGGAUUGUAGGCUGCAACUCGCCUACAUGAAGUCGGAAUCGCUAGUAAUCGCGGAUCAGCACGCCGCGGUGAAUACGUUCCCGGGCCUUGUACACACCGCCCGUCACACCACGAGAGUUUGUAACACC